GGGGCGGCAUGGCUCAGAAGGGAGAGCAGGCAGGCUAGGAAUCAGAAGGUUCCCGGUUCGAUCCCUAGCUGCUCCA